rnacentral:tRNA from 1 species
GGCUGUAGUUCAGUGGCAGAAUGCUUGCCUAGCAUGUGUGUGGUAUUGGGUUCAAUCCUCAGAACCA